AAUGAACGUUGGCGGCGUGGAUUAGGCAUGCAAGUCGAGCGACGGGCCCCUUUCGGGGGGCUACGGAGCGGCAAACGGGGUAGUAAGGCGUAGGUGACGUACCCCAGGAUCUGGGAUAGCCGCGGGAAACCGCGGGUAAUACCGGAUAAUCUCUCUGGUCAUUGCGGUCUGGAGAGCAAAGGUGUGAUUCCGUCCUGGGAGCGGCUUACGUGAUACUAGCUAGUUGGUGAGGUAACGGCUCACCAAGGCGAUGAUGUCUAGGGGGUGUGAGAGCAUGGCCCCCACCACUGGGACUGAGACACGGCCCAGACACCUACGGGUGGCUGCAGUCGAGAAUCUUCGGCAAUGGGCGAAAGCCUGACCGAGCGACGCCGCGUGCGGGAUGAAGGCCUUCGGGUUGUAAACCGCUGUCAGAGGGGAUGAAAUCACGGUGGGUUCUCCCACCGUGUUGACAGAGCCUCAGAGGAAGCACGGGCUAAGUACGUGCCAGCCGCCGCGGUAAAAC
rnacentral:rRNA from 1 species